rnacentral:miRNA from 1 species
ACUUAUACACACACACACACACACUAUAUAUAUGUGUGUGUGUGUGUGUGUGUGUGUGU